CAAAAAAUAGUUUAUUAGAAUAUUAAUUUUGGAGAUUAGUGGUAUAAUUUUUAAUUAUUUUUUUGA
rnacentral:tRNA from 1 species